AAAAAGGGGGUAAUUGGAAUAUUAAUUUUGUUAAAUAGCUACAAUCUUAUAGUUGUAUAAAUAUUAUUUAUUUAUUUUUUUACUUUGGAUAGUGUCUGGACGUUUCGUAUGGUGGGGAUGCUGGUCACCCGUUGAAGGCAAAGGACUGUUUUCCAGCUAAAAGGAAAAUAGAGGAGGCGGAUGAAGUAGUAGCUGAUAUUGAUGAUGAGGAUUUGGCAUGGCUUACCAUAGAUGUGAAAACCAGAAGAACUCUGGUUACAGUAGAGUAUGCCUUUCAAAGUAAGAAAAAGAAGCUAGGAGGUAAUUACAUAAUUUUUUCGUGUUAUUGGUACGGUUUGGUUCAUAGCGGUUCAUAGUUAGUUAUAUAAUUGUUUCAUUUUUUUGUUGUAAUAAAGAAGUACUGAAUGAGGACCCUGAAGAAGAAGGGAGGAAGAAACACUACUACAAAAAUGAUCUAAGAUAACAACAUAUGGUAUCACUUACAUGGCUAGAAACUUAACUAACUUAUAAGUAACACUAUUGUAACAUUUUGGCAUUGAGUAACACUUUAUUGUAACACUUUGCUAUUGAGUAACACUUUAUUGUAAAACUUUGCUAUUGAGUAACACUUUAUUGUAACACUUUGAUAUUAAGUAGCACUCACUAGUAUAAAUAGAGAGGUAGUUAAAGAAAGGUACCAUCGAUUCUUAAAAACACUACCUUAAGAGGUUGUCUAAACCCCAAAAAUAAAAAAAUAAAAAUGGCCUCAAAAGUCAAACUGGACAAAAAAGAAAAAAAAGGGACAGAGAAAGAACUACUAAGUACUACGUAUAAAAGGUCUGCUACCCUUAUAAGCUAAGGCUACCAGUUCCAAUUUCCAAACCAGUUUUUACUAUAUAAAAAAAAACCUUUAUCUUUACAACUCCGUAAUUCGUAAUGUUCAUUCAAAUUUCUUCAUUAAUGCCUUCAUCUUAUUUUCUUUCUCUUUCCAAGCCGAUGUUAGCCUUGCAGCCACAAGGCCCACAAACAUCUCUACUUCAAGCCGAAGCUGCACCAUCACCUUUGUUGCCCUCUUGCAAAACCGCGCCGUCGGCACUUCCAAUCGUUAAGGUCGUUAUCCAAAGACUCUCAAGGGCCCUUCCCAGUUUUGGCAUUGAUUAGGAUGCCCAAUGUUCCCCAUUUGAAGCUCAAGCAUAGAGAAGUGCAAGUUCCUAAAGACUUUAGGCCGUGCUUUCAAGUCGUGGGGGCGGGGCACGAAUUCUCGUGUUGAACCCACAAUCAUGGAGUUUGGAAACUACAAGGUCCCGUGUUUAUCAAGAGCAUCGAAUGGAACACACGAGGAUCGUCAAUAUGAUGGUGAAGAGGGCUACCCUGUUCCCAGGCGCGGGUGCACGCUACUAUGGUGCGGCAGUGCGGCCUGGUGGUGCGGGCGCGCUUCUCUCGGGCGCAAGCGCGCCCGUCUGGGUCUUUAUUUCGUACCCAGUUUUGCGCGGCCGCGCUCCCCCUUAUAGUCAGCGACACUUGUACGGGCCUAUUUUGAACGAUCUAACUAAUUUCUCUUUUUUAGUUUUACUAUAUUUAGAUUUUCCCACUAUUCUUAGAGGGAGAGAGUUCAUUUUAGAAUUAGAAUAUAAUUAGGUUAGAUUUUUAGAGAGAGAAACUCUAAUUUGUAGAGAGAUGUUCUUGAUUGAUGAUUGAAGAUUGAUGAUUCUAAGUGUUUUCUCCAUUGAUUUGAAGAAAGUUUGUAAGGAUUUCUUUACUUUAAUGCAACAUUAAGUUUUUAAUUUGAA